UACGGAGGGUGCGAGCGUUGUUCGGGAUCACUGGGCGUAAAGCGCGUGUAGGCGGCCUCCUAAGUCUGGUGUGAAAGCCCGGGGCUUACCCCCGGAAGUGCAUUGGAUACUGGGAGGCUGGAGUACCGGAGAGGAGGGUGGAAUUCCUGGUGUAGCGGUGAAAUGCGUAGAUAUCAGGAGGAACACCGGUGGCGAAGGCGGCCCUCUGGACGGAUACUGACGCUGAGACGCGACAGCGUGGGGAGCAAACAGG
rnacentral:rRNA from 1 species